rnacentral:rRNA from 1 species
CCGGCGCACGGGUGAGUAACACGUAUCCAACCUGCCGUCUACUCUUGGACAGCCUUCUGAAAGGAAGAUUAAUACAAGAUGGCAUCAUGAGUUCACAUGUUCACAUGAUUAAAGGUAUUCCGGUAGACGAUGGGGAUGCGUUCCAUUAGAUAGUAGGCGGGGUAACGGCCCACCUAGUCUUCGAUGGAUAGGGGUUCUGAGAGGAAGGUCCCCCACAUUGGAACCGAGACACGGUCCAA